rnacentral:rRNA from 1 species
GAUGAACGCUGGCGGCAGGCUUAACACAUGCAAGUCGAGCGGGGGAAGGUAGCUUGCUACCGGACCUAGCGGCGGACGGGUGAGUAAUGCUUAGGAAUCUGCCUAUUAGUGGGGGACAACAUCUCGAAAGGGAUGCUAAUACCGCAUACGUCCUACGGGAGAAAGCAGGGGAUCUUCGGACCUUGCGCUAAUAGAUGAGCCUAAGUCGGAUUAGCUAGUUGGUGGGGUAAAGGCCUACCACGGCGACGAUCUGUAGCGGGUCUGAGAGGAUGAUACGCCACACUGGGACUGAGACACGGACCAGACGCCUACGGGAGGCAGCAGUGGGGAAUAUUGGACAAGGGGGGGAACCCUGAGCCAGCCAUGCCGCGUGUGUGAAGAAGGCCUUAUGGUUGUAAAGCACUUUAAGCGAGGAGGAGGCUACUUUGGUUAAUACCUAGAGAUAGUGGACGUUACUCGCAGAAUAAGCACCGGCUAACUCUGUGCCAGCCGCCGUAAUAC